CAAUGCCUUUGUUUGACCAUGUUGUGUGCUAAUAUGACAAAUUAAAAAUUUUAGUUAAGCAUUUGGGCUGGCCUUAAUAUUUAACAAAAAGCUAAUUUUUUUUGUGGGCCCACUUUCGAUAGUUAGUCACUAGCGGAAGCUCAGGAAGAGCAGCUUUGGUCUCUCAGCACUUUAAUCCUGCUUCUCGUUCCCACUUAAUUUCGCAGUUUAUUGUCCUUGACUUCUACCACGAGAAAAAAAAUUAGGAAAAUACAACACUGCCCGUGCAGAGUUUUCUGAGCGGAAUGAAAAAAUUAAAUUAAUGUCCAAGUUAUGAGUAAUUACUUCGUUGUAGGGAGGGAGCAGAGCCAAAGGAAAUUUUUAAAAUUGUUAAAUAUAUAAAGGAAGAACCAUUCCUGAUUACUUUACUUUUUCGAUUCUUGUCAGUUAUCUUAGUAAAAUACAAAACUCUAUAAAGAACCACAGGAAAAUCAGCAGCAAUGACAAGCAUUGACAUUAACAACUUACAAAAUACCUUUCAACAAGCUAUGAAUAUGAGCGGCUCUGCAGGCGCUGU
rnacentral:sRNA from 1 species